rnacentral:rRNA from 1 species
AUGGCGCCCAAGGCCGAGAAGAAGCCCGCGGAGAAGAAGCCGGCCGCCGAGGUCGCCGAGAAGGCCGAGAAGACCCCCGCCGGCAAGAAGCCCAAGGCGGAGAAGCGGCUGCCGGCGUCCAAGUCCGCCAAGGAGGGCGGCGACAAGAAGGGCCGCAAGAAGAACAAGAAGAGCGUCGAGACCUACAAGAUCUACAUCUUCAAGGUGCUCAAGCAGGUGCACCCGGACAUCGGCAUCUCCUCCAAGGCCAUGUCCAUCAUGAACUCCUUCAUCAACGACAUCUUCGAGAAGCUCGCCGGCGAGGCGGCCAAGCUGGCCAGGUACAACAAGAAGCCCACCAUCACGUCCAGGGAGAUCCAGACCUCCGUCCGCCUCGUCCUCCCCGGCGAGCUCGCCAAGCACGCCGUCUCCGAGGGCACCAAGGCCGUCACCAAGUUCACCAGCAACUAG